rnacentral:rRNA from 1 species
ACUCAAAUGAAUUGACGGGGGCCCGCACAAGCGGUGGAGCAUGUGGUUUAAUUCGAUGCAACGCGAAGAACCUUACCUGGGUUUGACAUCCUCUGACAGCUCUAGAGAUAGAGUCUUGUAGCAAUACACAGAGAGACAGGUGCUGCAUGGCUGUCGUCAGCUCGUAUCGUGAGAUGUCGGGUUAAGUCCCUUAACGAGCGCAACCCUUAUGCUUAGUUGCCACCAUUUAGUUGGGCACUCUAAGCAGACUGCCGGUGUUAAACCGGAGGAAGGUGGGGAUGACGUCAAGUCCUCAUGGCCUUUAUAUCCAGGGCGACACACGUGCUACAAUGGCCGGUACAAAGGGUCGCCAACCCGCGAGGGGGAGCUAAUCUCAGAAAACCGGUCUCAGUUCGGAUCGAAGUCUGCAAUUCGACUUCGUGAAGCUGGAAUCGCUAGUAAUCGCGGAUCAGAACGCCGCGGUGAAUACGUUCCCGGGCCUUGUACACACCGCCCGU